rnacentral:rRNA from 1 species
AGAGAGAGACAUGCGCGCAUAUCAAUAAGCGGAGGAAAAGAAACUAACUAGGAUUCCCUCAGUAACGGCGAGUGAAGCGGGAAGAGCUCAAAUUUGAAAUCUUCAAGGUUCUACCUUGACGAAUUGUAGUUUAAAGAAGUGUUUUCUGUUGGAGUUUUUGGUAAAAGUUCUUUGGAAUAGGACAUCAUAGAGGGUGAGAAUCCCGUAUUUGACCAUUAUUUCCAGCUUUGUGAUACACUUUCAAAGAGUCGGAUUGUUUGGGAAUGCAGUCCAAAAUGGGUGGUAAAUUUCAUCUAAAGCUAAAUAUUGGCGAGAGACCGAUAGCGAACAAGUACCGUGAGGGAAAGAUGAAAAGAACUUUGAAAAGAGAGUUAAACAGUACGUGAAAUUGUCAAAAGGGAAGCGUUUGACACCAGUGUUGUUUUUCUGAAAAUCAAUUAAAAAAGGCAGGAUUUUGUGUUGUAUUGACUUUAUCAGCUUUCUGCACCUCUUUUCUUGUCCUUUUUAAUGCACUUUUCGUUUAACAAGUCAACAUCAAUUUCUUUUGUUGUAAAAGGGUCAUUGGAAGGUGGCUUUCUUUUCGGAGAAAGUGUUUAUAGCCUUUGGCCUCUGCAAUCGGAGAGAUUGAGGUCUGCAGCGUAGAUCCUUCGGGGUUAGAUACAUUUGUGCUAAGUUAUAGCCUUUCAUAGACAACUUGUUGACUAUGAUCAGUCAUGUAGCUUACUCGCUUAUGCCUAUUUUACCUACGCUUAGGAUGUUGAUGUGAUACUGCGAGCA